rnacentral:rRNA from 1 species
GAUGAACGCUGGCGGCGUGCCUAAUACAUGCAAGUCGAGCGAACGGACGAGAAGCUUGCUUUUCUGAUGUUAGCGGCGGACGGGUGAGUAACGCGUGGAUAACCUACCUAUAAGACUGGGAUAACUUCGGGAAACCGGAGCUAAUACCGGAUAAUAUUUUGAACCGCAUGGUUCAAAAGUGAAAGACGGUCUUGCUGUCACUUAUAGAUGGAUCCGCGCUGCAUUAGCUAGUUGGUAAGGUAACGGCUUACCAAGGCAACGAUGCAUAGCCGACCUGAGAGGGUGAUCGGCCACACUGGAACUGAGACACGGUCCAGACUCCUACGGGAGGCAGCAGUAGGGAAUCUUCCGCAAUGGGCGAAAGCCCGACGGAGCAACGCCGCGUGAGUGAUGAAGGUCUUCGGAUCGUAAAACUCUGUUAUUAGGGAAGAACAUAUGUGUAAGUAACUGUGCACAUCUUGACGGUACCUAAUCAGAAAGCCACGGCUAACUACGUGCCAGCAGCCGCGGUAAUACGUAGGUGGCAAGCGUUAUCCGGAAUUAUUGGGCGUAAAGCGCGCGUAGGCGGUUUUUUAAGUCUGAUGUGAAAGCCCACGGCUCAACCGUGGAGGGUCAUUGGAAACUGGAAAACUUGAGUGCAGAAGAGGAAAGUGGAAUUCCGUGUGUAGCGGUGAAAUGCGCAGAGAUGUGGAGGAACACCAGUGGCGAAGGCGACUUUCUGGUCUGUAACUGACGCUGAUGUGCGAAAGCGUGGGGAUCAAACAGGAUUAGAUACCCUGGUAGUCCACGCCGUAAACGAUGAGUGCUAAGUGUUAGGGGGUUUCCGCCCCUUAGUGCUGCAGCUAACGCAUUAAGCACUCCGCCUGGGGAGUACGACCGCAAGGUUGAAACUCAAAGGAAUUGACGGGGGCCCGCACAAGCGGUGGAGCAUGUGGUUUAAUUCGAAGCAACGCGAAGAACCUUACCAAAUCUUGACAUCCUUUGACAACUCUAGAGAUAGAGCCUUCCCCUUCGGGGGACAAAGUGACAGGUGGUGCAUGGUUGUCGUCAGCUCGUGUCGUGAGAUGUUGGGUUAAGUCCCGCAACGAGCGCAACCCUUAAGCUUAGUUGCCAUCAUUAAGUUGGGCACUCUAAGUUGACUGCCGGUGACAAACCGGAGGAAGGUGGGGAUGACGUCAAAUCAUCAUGCCCCUUAUGAUUUGGGCUACACACGUGCUACAAUGGACAAUACAAAGGGCAGCGAAACCGCGAGGUCAAGCAAAUCCCAUAAAGUUGUUCUCAGUUCGGAUUGUAGUCUGCAACUCGACUACAUGAAGCUGGAAUCGCUAGUAAUCGUAGAUCAGCAUGCUACGGUGAAUACGUUCCCGGGUCU